GAUGAACGCUGGCGGCGUGCUUAACACAUGCAAGUCGAACGGAAAGGCCCUGCUUUUGUGGGGUGCUCGAGUGGCGAACGGGUGAGUAACACGUGAGUAACCUGCCCUUGACUUUGGGAUAACUUCAGGAAACUGGGGCUAAUACCGGAUAGGAGCUCCUGCUGCAUGGUGGGGGUUGGAAAGUUUCGGCGGUUGGGGAUGGACUGGCGGCUUAUCAGCUUGUUGGUGGGGUAGUGGCUUACCAAGGCUUUGACGGGUAGCCGGCCUGAGAGGGUGGCCGGCCACAUUGGUACUGAGAUACGGACCAGUCGCGUACGGGAGGCAACAGUGGGAAGUAUGACACAGUGGGCGGAAGCCUGAUGCGACGACGCCGCGUGCGGAAUGACGGCUUUCUGGUUGUAAACCGCUUUCGCCUGAGACGAAGCGUGAGUGACGGUAAUGGAUAAAGAAGCACCGGCUAACUACGUG
rnacentral:rRNA from 1 species